UAUCAAAACCGAACGCGGCCGCUGGCAGGACUUGGACGCGGAAACCUUCGAAAGAGGAUGGUGCGGACUCGGGUGGGGGUGCGGAACAAGGUUGGGAGAUUAGGGGAUAGUUGGUUUUCAAAAGGAUAAAGCCAUGGCUGCAGCUUCCUGCAGGACCUGCAGCUGUUUCACGACCGAAAUGGGACGCCGUUUAUGUGGUUGCCGAAGAUCGGAGGUUGGGAUGUGGAUUUGCACCGGAUACAGUGGUGGCCCGGGGUGGGUAGACGAGAUUGACGUUGAAGCAGAUUUACAUCCGCUUUUUGAACAAGU